AUUGAACGCUGGCGGCAGGCCUAACACAUGCAAGUCGAGCGGAUGACGGGAGCUUGCUCCUUGAUUCAGCGGCGGACGGGUGAGCAAUGCCUAGGAAUCUGCCUGGUAGUGGGGGACAACGUUUCGAAAGGAACGCUAAUACCGCAUACGUCCUACGGGAGAAAGCAGGGGACCUUCGGGCCUUGCGCUAUCAGAUGUGCCUAGGUCGGAUUAGCUAGUUGGUGAGGUAAUGGCUCACCAAGGCGACGAUCCGUAACUGGUCUGAGAGGAUGAUCAGUCACACUGGAACUGAGACACGGUCCAGACUCCUACGGGAGGCAGCAGUGGGGAAUAUUGGACAAUGGGCGAAAGCCUGAUCCAGCCAUGCCGCGUGUGUGAAGAAGGUCUUCGGAUUGUAAAGCACUUUAAGUUGGGAGGAAGGGCAGUAAGUUAAUACCUUGCUGUUUUGACGUUACCGACAGAAUAAGCACCGGCUAACUUCGUGCCAGCCGCCGCGGUAAGAC
rnacentral:rRNA from 1 species